UAAGUGGACUUCAACUCCCAGAAUUCCAGGAUGCUGACUUAGGGAUUCUGGGAGUUGAAGUCCACCCAUCUUCAAAUGGCCAAGAUUGAGAAACCCUGAUCUCGAACGUGGCAAUAGUUUUGCGAUUAGAUGCAUCUUGUAGGGUCAGCAUUGUUGGGCUAGUUUAUUGUACGAGGCCAUAAUAGCUGCACCAGACCUCUAUAUGUCAGUCAAGUGUUUUAAAACAAAUUCCAUCCUCAUGAGCCGGGAUGGAAAAGAGGAGUAAUAACGGGGAAAUUUGGAUAUUGGUGCAAGAAAUAAAAAGAUAAUUAUUUUUUGUUUUCUUGUUGAUAAAUCCAAAUAUAUAUAAAAAUUAGAUUUCAGGUUUGCCUGUCUUAAUGUGAAUAGAUCUUGCCAAGGUGGCCAUCCAUCCCAGAUCAAACUUUUUCAGCAUUUGGGUUUUUUUUUUUUAAUGAGCAAUCUUUGUGGCCAGAUACAAGUUCCUUAAAUAGGAACGCCGUCCUAGAAAACUUUGGCACCAGUGUUGAAAAUAUCUGGUUUGGCAAAAAACAUCCUUUGGUUACUUGAUCUUUCUCAUUUAUUUACAAGGGCCUUUGGUCACUGGCUGUCAGCUGGAGAAAAAUGGAAUUUAGUUUCCUUUUUGCCCCUCCCCCUAAAUGGCAGCAUUAUUUUUAAAAGUAAGCAGAGCCCCCCCGAAUACAGGACAAACGUGCCCUUAAAACCUGGGAGUGGAAAAAAAAUGUCUUUUUUUUUUUUUUAAAGAAACGGGAAUGUAGAUUUUGUACUCCGCUUCUCUGUCGCAAUUUCUAAGCUUGGCUUUUAAUCUGUGCUGCAACCAAUGUAGCAGUUUUGGGAUUAGAGCAUUAAAAACAAACGAACAAAACCUUUCACCAUC